rnacentral:tRNA from 1 species
AUUUAUAUAGUUUAAUGAAAACUUUAAAUUGCAAAUUUAAAAAUCUAUUUUGUGUAAAUU